CAGUAGCCGCGGGAAUACGUAGGGUGCGAACGUUAAUCGGAAUUACUGGGCGUAAAGCGUGCGCAGGCGGUUUUGUAAGACAGGCGUGAAAUCCCCGGGCUCAACCUGGGAAUGGCGCUUGUGACUGCAAAGCUAGAGUGCGGCAGAGGGGGAUGGAAUUCCGCGUGUAGCAGUGAAAUGCGUAGAUACGCGGAGGAACACCGAUGGCGAAGGCAAUCCCCUGGGCCUGCGCUGACGCUCAUGCACGAAAGCGUGGGGAGCAAACAGGAUUAGAUACCCCGGUAGUCCCUGUCUCUUAUAC
rnacentral:rRNA from 1 species